AGCUACCCUAUUCUAGACUUCAUAUCGACAAAAGGGUUUAAGACCUCAAUGUCAGAUCAGAACAUCCCAGUGGUGCAACCACUAUUAACGGUUCGUUUGUUCAAUGAUUAAAGUACUAAGUGAUCUGGGUUGAGACCAGAGUAAUCCAGGC
rnacentral:ncRNA from 1 species